CUACGGGAGGCAGCAGUGGGGAAUAUUGGACAAUGGGGGAAACCCUGAUCCAGCAAUGCCGCGUGUGUGAAGAAGGCCUGCGGGUUGUAAAGCACUUUCGGUUGGGAGGACUGCUUCUAGCACUAAUAUUGUUGGAAGUUGACGUUACCUUCAGAAGAAGCACCGGCUAACUCCGUGCCAGCAGCCGCGGUAAUAGGGAGGGUGCAAGCGUUAAUCGGAAUUACUGGGCGUAAAGCGCGCGUAGGCGGCUUGAUCAGUCGGGUGUGAAAGCCCCGGGCUUAACCUGGGAACUGCAUCCGAUACUGUCUAGCUUGAGUAAGGGAGAGGAGAGUGGAAUUCCACAUGUAGCGGUGAAAUGCGUAGAUAUGUGGAGGAACACCAAUGGCGAAGGCAGCUCUCUGGCCUGAUACUGACGCUGAGGUGCGAAAGCGUGGGGAGCAAACAGGAUUAGAUACCCUCGUAGUC
rnacentral:rRNA from 1 species